UACGAAGGGGGCUAGCGUUGCUCGGAAUCACUGGGCGUAAAGGGUGCGUAGGCGGGUCUUUAAGUCAGGGGUGAAAUCCUGGAGCUCAACUCCAGAACUGCCUUUGAUACUGAGGAUCUUGAGUUCGGGAGAGGUGAGUGGAACUGCGAGUGUAGAGGUGAAAUUCGUAGAUAUUCGCAAGAACACCAGUGGCGAAGGCGCUCACUGGCCCGAUACUGACGCUGAGGCACGAAGGCCAGGGGAG
rnacentral:rRNA from 1 species